rnacentral:misc_RNA from 1 species
CCAAAGAUGGCGGGCCCCCGCGCCCCCGUCCCCAACCCAUUGUUGACCAAAACCCUUUUGCCUCGGGGGCAGAGCGUCCGCCGCCGCGCCCCCGGAGGACCACCGAACGCUGUCUCUUUGCGUCAGAGUAUUAUUAAAUGAAUGA